ensembl:lncRNA
GCUCAUCGACAAGGAGUACUACUACACCAAGGAGGAGCAGUGUGAGAAUCCUGGGAACUCUGGGGAAUUUUUUGGGAAUUUUUUGGGAAUUUUUUGGGAAUUUUUUGGAUUUUUUUUGGAUUUUUUUUUGAUUUUUUUGGGAUUUUUUUGGGAUUUUUUUGGGAUUUUUUGGGGGAUUUGUUUUGGGUUUUGAGGCUCAUCAACAAGGAGUAGUGCUCCACCAAGGAGGAGCAGUGUGAGCAGGAAUUCCAGGAAUUUUUGGGAAUUUUUGGGAAUUUUUUCGGAUUUUUUGGGGAUUUUUUGGGGGAUUUGUUUUGUGUUUUGAGGUCAUCAACAAGGAGUAGUGCUCCACCAAGGAGGAGCAGUGUGAGUAGGAAUUCCAGGAAUUUUUAGGAAUUUUUCGGGAAUUUUUGGGAAUUUUUUUGGAUUUUUUUCAGAUUUUUUUCAGAUUUUUUUCGGAUUUUUGAGGGAUUUUUUUUGGGAUUUUUUGGAGGAUUUGUUUAGGGUUUGGAGGCUCAUCGACAAGGAGUACUACUACACCAAGGAGGAGCAGUGUGAGAAUCCUGGGAAUUUUGGGGAAUUUUUUGGGAAUUUUUUGGGAAUUUUGGGGAAUUUUUUGGGAAUUUUUUCAGAUUUUUUUUUCAUUUUUUUCGGAUUUUUUUCGGAUUUUUUUCGGAUUUUUUUGGGGAUUUUGGGGGAUUUGUUUUGUGUUUUGAGGCUCAUCAACAAGGAGUAGUGCUACACCAAGGAGGAGCAGUGUGAGCAGGAAUUCCAGGAAUUUUUAGGAAUUUUUUGGGAAUUUUUUGGGAAUUUUUUUGGAUUUUUUUCGGAUUUUUUUUGGAUUUUUUUCAGAUUUUUUGGGGAUUUUUUUGGGAUUUUUUGGAGGAUUUGUUUUGGGUUUUGAGGUCAUCAACAAGGAGUAGUGCUACACCAAGGAGGAGCAGUGUGAGAAUCCUGGGAACUCUGGGGAAUUUUUUGGGAAUUUUUUGGGAAUUUUUUGGGAAUUUUUUGGAUUUUUUUGGGAUUUUUUUGGGAUUUUUUUUGGAUUUUUUUGGGGGAUUUCAGGGGAUUUGUUUUGGGUUUUGAGGCUCAUCAACAAGGAAUAGUGCUACACCAAGGAGGAGCAGUUCAAGCAGGUGUUCAAGGACCUGGAAUUCCUGGGCUGGUACACGAUGGGGGGGCCCCCCGAGCCCGCCGACAUCCACGUCCACAAACAGGUGGGAACCCCGGAAUUCCGGGAAUUCUGGGAAUUCUGGGAAUUUCUGGGAAUUUUGGGGAUUUCUGGGAAUUUUUGGGAAUUUUUGGGGAAUUUUUUGGGAUUUUUGGGGGGCAUUUAUGGGUUUUUUUCUUUAUUUUUUGGGGUUUUUUUGGGGAAUUCGAGGGGAAUUUUGGGAAGUUUGGGAGGGACUUGAAGGAUUUUGGGGAAUUUUGGGGAAUUUUGGGGAAUUCUGGGAAUUUUUGGGGAUUUUUUGGGAAUUUUUUGGGGGGAUUUAAGGGGAAUUAUGGGGAUUUUUGGGGGGUUUUUUUGGGAAUUUGAGGGGAAUUUUGGGCAGUUUGGGGGGUCCUGGGUGGAAUUUCGGGGGAUUUUUGGGAAUUUUGAGGAAUUUCUGGGAAUUUUCGGGAAUUUUGGGGAUUUCUGGGAAUUUUCAGGAAGUUUUUGGAAUUUUUUGGGGGGGAUUUAAGGUUUUUUUUUAUUUUUUGGGGGUUUUUUUUGGGAAUUUGAGGGGAUUUGGGGAAGUUUGGAGGAUCCUGGGUGGAAUUUUGGGGGAUUUUUGGGAAUUUUGAGGAAUUUCUGGGAAUUUUUGGGAAUUUUCGGGAAUUUUGGGGGAUUUUUUGGAAUUUUUGGUGGUGAUUUAAGGGUUUUUUUUUAUUUUUGGGGGUUUUUUUUGGGAAUUCGAGGGGAAUUUUGGGGAGUUUGGGAGGGACUUGAAGAAUUUUGGGAAUUCUUGGGAAUUUUUGGGAAUUUUGGGGAAUUUUUGGGAAUUUUGGGGAAUUUUCGGGGAUUUUUUGGAAUUUUUUGGGGGGAUUUAAGGUUUUUUUUUAAUUUUUUGGGGUUUUUUUUGGGGAAUUCGAGGGGAAUUUGGGGAAGUUUGGGAGGGACUUGAAGGAUUUUUGGGAAUUUUGGGGAAUUCCGGAAAUUCUGGGAAUUUUCAGGAAUUUUUGGGAAUUUUUUGGGGGGAUUUAAGGGGAAUUAUGGGGAUUUUUGGGGGUUUUUUUUGGGAAUUUGAGGGGAUUUGGGGAAGUUUGGGGGGUCCUGGGUGGAAUUUCGGGGGAUUUUUGGGAAUUCUGGGAAUUUCUCAGAAUUUUGGGGAAUUUCAGGGAAUUUUCAGGAAUUUUUUGGAAUUUUUGGGGGGCAUUUAAGGGUUUUUUUUAUUUUUUGGGGUUUUUUUGGGAAUUCAAGGGGAAUUUUGGGAAUUUUUGGGAGUUUGGGAGGGAUUUUGGGGGAUUUUUUUGGGGAAUUUUGGGAGGAAUUUUGGGAAUUUUUGAGGGAUUUUGGGAAUUUUUGGGAAUUUUUGGGCUUCCUGGGUGGAAUUUUG